rnacentral:rRNA from 1 species
AUUGAACGCUGGCGGCAGGCCUAACACAUGCAAGUCGAGCGGAUGAAGGGAGCUUGCUCCUGGAUUCAGCGGCGGACGGGGAGGAAAGUCUAAGGAAUAUCCCCGGUGGGGGGGACUAAGGUCGGGAAGGGGGGCCAAAUCCGGAAAAGGCCUGGAGGGAGAAAGGGGGGGUUCUUGGGACACAGCCCUUUAAGAGGACCCCAGGUCGAAUUAGCUAGUUGGUGGGGCAAGGGCCUACCAAGGCAACGAUCCGAAGCUGGUCUGAGAGGAUGAUCGGUCACACUGGAACUGAGACACGGUCCAGACUCCUACGGGAGGCAGCAGUGGGGAAUAUUCGACAAUGGGCGAAAGCCUGAUCCAGCCAUGCCGCGUGUGUGAAGAAGGUCUUCGGAUUGUAAAGCACUUUAAGUUGGGAGGAAGAGCAGUAAGAUAAUACCUUGCUGUUUUGACGUUACCAACAGAAUAAGCACCGGCUAACUUCGUG